rnacentral:rRNA from 1 species
AGUGGCGAACGGGUGAGUAAAGUAUCGGAACGUGCCCAGUCGUGGGGGAUAACGUAGCGAAAGUUACGCUAAUACCGCAUACGAUCUAUGGAUGAAAGCGGGGGAUCGCAAGACCUCGCGCGAUUGGAGCGGCCGAUAUCAGAUUAGGUAGUUGGUGGGGUAAAGGCUCACCAAGCCGACGAUCUGUAGCUGGUCUGAGAGGACGACCAGCCACACUGGGACUGAGACACGGCCCACACCCCUACGGGAGGCAGCAGUGGGGAAUUUUGGACAAUGGGCGCAAGCCUGAUCCAGCCAUGCCGCGUGCAGGAUGAAGGCCUUCGGGUUGUAAACUGCUUUUGUACGGAACGAAAAGGUUUGGCCUAAUAAGCUGAGCUCAUGACGGUACCGUAAGAAUAAGCACCGGCUAACUACGUGCCAGCAGCCGCGGUAAUACGUAGGGUGCGAGCGUUAAUCGGAAUUACUGGGCGUAAAGCGUGCGCAGGCGGUUAUGUAAGACAGAUGUGAAAUCCCCGGGCUCAACCUGGGAACUGCAUUAGUGACUGCAUAGCUGGAGUACGGCAGAGGGGGGAUGGAAUUCCGCGUGUAGCAGUGAAAUGCGUAGAUAUGCGGAGGAACACCGAUGGCGAAGGCAAUCCCCUGGGCCUGUACUGACGCUCAUGCACGAAAGCGUGG